GGGCGGUGCUUUCCGAUUCGCUAAAUCUGAUGCAAUGUCCCCGAGUGUUUCAUGCUUCUACCAGAGCAAGCAAGCCCGAGGAAAGUUGCGUCAGACAGGAGGAGAACUGCAAGGCUGGCUGUACCGUUUCUUUACACUGAAGUCCAUUCAAUGUGACAGAUGGCCAAGACACUGAAGAUUUCCUACACAGGUGUCCAUUGCUGUCUUGAGAGGGGAGAGCACACGGGAACUAAAGAGGAGAGAAAAAGAAAGAAAGAAAAGGCCCAGACUGACAACUGCAUAUGAGGAUAAGGACAUCAGAGUGUGUCGUUUGAGAAACACACACCUUACAAGUCCUCAGUUGGCUGCUUCUUUAAAUACGCACCAAACCCCAGUGUUGUCUGCAACAGAGAACAUAUGACUCCAGGAUGCUGUCCAAAAUCUUCUUUUCCAGUCGGCUUCUGUCGGCUUUCUUUUGGCCCUUUUAAUCUUUUCUUUGUGUUUGCCAGUUUCAGAUACGACCUUUUCUGUGUAAGUCUGCCUCUUAGGCCAGCGUCCUGGAGUCAUUUUUUCUUUAUUGCUGAUGACAUUUGAAGUUUGAAAUUUUUGUAUUGUGACAACCUUAAUCACUAAAUUAUUAUAUAGCUUAUGACAAGGAAAAUGUAAACCACUUUAUCUGAUAGAAGGUUCUCGUGGAGCGCAAACACGAGUAUCGGUAGCGUU